rnacentral:rRNA from 1 species
AAUUGAAGAGUCUGAUCAUGGCUCAGAUUGAACGUUGGCGGCAGGUCUCAUACAUGCAAGUCGAACGAGGCGCCGGCUUCGGCCGGAACCUAGUGGCGGACGGGUGAGUAACGCGUAGGAAUCUACCUAGUAGUGGGGAAUAACUCGAGGAAACUCGUGCUAAUACCGCAUACGACCUAAGGGUGAAAGCGGGGGAUUUUCGGACCUCGCGCUAUUAGCGGAGCCUGCGUUGGAUUAGUUUGUUGGUGGGGUAAUGGCCUACCAAGGCGACGAUCCAUAGCUGGUCUGAGAGGAUGAUCAGUCACACUGGAACUGAGACACGGUCCAGACUUCUACGGAAGGCAGCAGUAAAGAAUAUUGCGCAAUGGGCGAAAGCCUGACGCAGCCAUGCCGCGUGUGUGAAGAAGGCCUUUGGGUUGUAAAGCACUUUCAGUAGUGAGGAAAAGCGAACUGCUAAUACCAGUUCGUCAUGACAUUAGCUACAGAAGAAGCACCGGCUAACUCCGUGCCAGCAGCCGCGGUAAUACGGAGGGUGCGAACGUUAAUCGGAAUUACUGGGCGUAAAGCGCGCGUAGGCGGUAUGUUAAGUGGGAUGUGAAAGCCCCGGGCUCAACCUGGGAACUGCAUUUCAAACUGACAAACUAGAGUGUAGUAGAGGGAGGUGGAAUUUCCUGUGGAGCGGUGGAAUGCGUAGAUAUGGGAAGGAACACCAGUGGCGAAGGCGACCUCCUGGACUAACACUGACGCUGAGGUGCGAAAGCGUGGGGAGCAAACAGCGAUUAGAUACCCUGGUAGUCCACGCUGUAAACGAUGAGAACUAGCCGUCGGGCCUUUCGGGGUUUGGUGGCGUAGCUAACGCGCUAAGUUCUCCGCCUGGGGAGUACGGCCGCAAGGUUAAAACUCAAAUGAAUUGACGGGAGCCCGCACAAGCGGUGGAGCAUGUUGUUUAAUUCGAUGCAACGCGAAAAACCUUACCACCUCUUGACAUCCACGGAACUGAUCGUAAUGUGAAGGUGCCUUCGGGAACCGUGUGACAGGUGUUGCAUGGCUGUCGUCAGCUCGUGUCGUGAGAUGUUGGGUUAAGUCCCGUAACGA